AAUAGAUACCCCAGGUAGUCCACGCCGUAAACGAUGAGUGCUAAGUGUUAGAGGGUUUCCGCCCUUUAGUGCUGCGGCUAACGCAUUAAGCACUCCGCCCGGGGAGUACGGCCGCAAGGCUGAAACUCAAAGGAAUUGACGGGGGCCCGCACAAGCGGUGGAGCAUGUGGUUUAAUUCGAAGCAACGCGAAGAACCUUACCAGGUCUUGACAUCCUCUGACACUCCUAGAGAUAGGACUUUCCCCUUCGGGGGACAGAGUGACAGGUGGUGCAUGGUUGUCGUCAGCUCGUGUCGUGAGAUGUUGGGUUAAGUCCCGCAACGAGCGCAACCCUUGAUCUUAGUUGCCAGCAUUCAGUUGGGCACUCUAAGGUGACUGCCGGUGACAAACCGGAGGAAGGUGGGGAUGACGUCAAAUCAUCAUGCCCCUUAUGACCUGGGCUACACACGUGCUACAAGUGGAUGGUACAAAGGGCUGCAAGACCGCGAGGUUUAGCCAAUCCCAUAAAACCAUUCUCAGUUCGGAUUGCAGGCUGA
rnacentral:rRNA from 1 species